rnacentral:snoRNA from 1 species
CAUUAUGAUGAACCCCAGAUAGGGACAGCUUAUGCCAAUGGCAUGUGAUGAGAACUUUGGGCCAAGAAUUUUAGUAGAUGCCUUGGUAUCUGAUA